rnacentral:rRNA from 1 species
AAACGCUUGAAGUCAGUCGCGUUGUCUGAGACUCAGCCUUGCUUGCUUGGUGUACUUCUCAGUUAACGGGUCAACAUCAAUUUUGGUUGGUGGACAAAGGUUGAAGGAAUGUGGCAUCUUCGGAUGUGUUAUAGCCUUCUUCCGUAUACACUGGCUGGGAUUGAGGUCUGCAGCACGCCUUUAUGGCCGGGGUUCGCCCACGUUACGUGCUUAGGAUGUUGGCAUAAUGGCUUUAAGCGA